AUCUUUCUAGUAUUAACAUUAAUACAAGUGCCUUCCAAGUACUUGAUCUUGGUUAAAAUCCAAGGAAAGAUA
rnacentral:tRNA from 1 species